rnacentral:rRNA from 1 species
UGAGGAAUAUUGGACAAUGGAGGCAACUCUGAUCCAGCCAUGCCGCGUGCAGGAAGACUGCCCUAUGGGUUGUAAACUGCUUUUAUAUGGGAAGAAUAAGGCCUACGUGUAGGUUGAUGACGGUACCAUAAGAAUAAGCACCGGCUAACUCCGUGCCAGCAGCCGCGGUAAUACGGAGGGUGCAAGCGUUAUCCGGAAUCAUUGGGUUUAAAGGGUCCGUAGGCGGGCAUAUAAGUCAGUGGUGAAAGUCUGCAGCUUAACUGUAGAACUGCCAUUGAUACUGUAUGUCUUGAAUUAUUGUGAAGUGGUUAGAAUAUGUAGUGUAGCGGUGAAAUGCUUAGAGAUUACAU